rnacentral:lncRNA from 1 species
CAGCAGAGCUGGCUGGCAGCUCCCGCGUGUCUGACAGCAUCAGUGCCGAGCAACGUCUGGAUAUGUCACCCACUGUGCCUGAGCUGGGCAUGUGCCAGCUGUCCCCUGGCCGAGCGGAGCAGCCCUCUGCCCUCAGGGAUGGAUCAGGCAGAGUGGUGCCACAGGUGGUGCUGGCAGCGCUGGACCCCACGGGCCCUGGCAAUGAGCAGGAGGUGCCUUCUAGUGCAGCAGUCUCUGGGGAGGUGGCAGGAUGGGACAGUCCCCAGGCAGGGCUUGCCUACCCAAAACAAACCGACUGGCCGACCAGUGUCCCCAUGGCUCCUGGCGCCACUCAGAUCUCGUCCCCUGUGCCAAGUGGGCACACAAUGGCUGUUACCCAUGGGAACAGGGAUGUAGAGCCAGCCACAGCCACGCUGUCCUCAGCUCUACAUGUACCUACAGAGAAGAGGACAGGCACCCUGGUGCUAUUAGGCAGCAGCACCACUCCUACAAAGUCUGUGGGAGAACACAGUGCUCUGCAGAGCACCACUGGGCAGCCCACGCUGGGCACAGCCAUCCCUUUGCAAGAGGGGACCGUGGCCAAUGAACGUAUGGAAGCCACCAGCAUGCUGACAGGAGAUGUCCCAGCACCCACUGGAGGUUUGUCACCAUCAGUGACACAUGUUCCUGCAACUCCUUUGGUGCUGGGAACAGAAGCACCUUCCUCAGCCACCAGCACAGCGAAUGAUGACAAUGGGUUGGGGCAGCCUCACAGUGCUGUCACUGCGGAGGGGACACCGGGGACAGCACAGGGCACGGUGCUGUCUGAUGUCCAACACAGCACGGGGACACCACCCCACUCCCUCACCUGGAUCCCAGCUGAGCUGCACACAGCCGCUGUGCGCCUGUCCCAGGAGGUAAUGCCAGGGCUGGCCGAG